AGAGCCGUGAGUCUGAGUGAGCCCGAGUCAGUAAUAUUUUGGCUUUGAUGUCAAGCUGCAGAGUUCGGAAGACGGGAACUUUUGGACAGUGUUAGCUGUGACACCUACUAUGAAACGAAUCCAGCAACUCGAUACAACAAGAGAGAUCAUUUUUGUUGACUCAACGUCAUCGUGCGACUCAAUGCACAGCACUGUGACAGUGAUGCUGGCCUCAACAAAAGCCGGUGCUGUACCAAUAGCUGUAUUGAUACACAACGCACAGUCGACUCAAGGCUACACCACUGCAUUCAGCCUCCUGAAGGAAAGCUACCCGCUCUGCUUUGGAGGACUCACAUGCUGCCAGACAUUCAUGACAGACAAUUCAACAGCAGAGAAAGCAGCC
rnacentral:lncRNA from 1 species